ensembl:lncRNA SMCR2 Smith-Magenis syndrome chromosome region, candidate 2
UAUUUAAUCACAUCUGCAAGGACCCUCUGAAUGCUGUCUUGCCUCAACUCAUUUUACAGAUAAGAAAAUCAAGGCUCAGAGAGGUGAAGUCACUGAUCCAAAGUCACACAGCAGGUCAAAAGGAGAUCAUGUUUCCUGCCUGGAGGAGAGGCCCCGGUGGACUGGAAUAGGAGAAAGUGGAGGGGGUGUAUUUCAGGAUAGAAUCCUGCACCCUGCCAGGGACCACGCUUAUCCUUGGCUCACUCAAUAGGAUGCAAGGGCGUUUACUGUGGCCAGGUCUUGUGAGUGCCCAGAGCCCUGUGGCAAGAAGCCUCUGCCAGGGAAAGGGAUGCGGGGAAGUGGAGGCAGUGAUGGGGAAGCAGAGCCAGGAGAGACCCUUGGGCUUCCUUCCUUCAAGGCCUCUGGUCUCUAGCAGAGAGAAGAGAGGGAGCAGUGCUCUCUUGCCCUUCUGCCUUCCACCAUGGGAUGAUACAGCAUGAAGACCCCCACCAGAUGCUGGUGCCAUACUCUUGGACUUCCCAGUCUUCAGAAGCAUGAGCCAAAUAAAUUUCUAUUGUUUACAAA